GGGAAGCGGCACAGCACCAGCUAGGCAGAGACGCCCCAGGCCAUGUUAGAGCUUUGAGUGAGGCCUGGUAACAGGGAGGCGCUGUCACCUACUGGCCUUGCCAAUCCAGCUCCAAGAUGCUGAGCCUGAAGCUCCCCAGGCUGUUUAGCAUAGACCAGAUACCCCAGGUAUUCCAUGAGCAAGGCAUCCUGUUCGGCUACCGCCAUCCACAGAGUUCUGCCACUGCCUGCAUCCUCAGCCUUUUCCAAAUGACCAAUGAGACUCUCAACAUUUGGACUCACUUGCUGCCCUUCUGCUUAUUUUCUAUGAUCCUGGUGGAGGGAACUAAGGCCAAUCAAAUGGAGAUAGAUUCCAGGAGGACAGGUUUGAGCCAAUGAAGGAGAACUUUCCAGCCCUUGGAGCUGCUUUGGGAGGUUCUUUGCACGGAGGUUUGUGACUGCACUGUAUAUGACAGACAUCAAGAAUGACAGCUACUCCUGGCCCAUGCUUGUGUACAUGUGCACCAGCUGCGUGUACCCACUUGUGUCCAGCUGUGCGCACACCUUCAGCUCUAUGUCCAAGAAUGCCCGGCACAUUUGCUACUUCCUGGACUAUGGCGCCGUCAACCUCUUCAGCCUGGGCUCAGCCAUUGCCUACUCUGCAUACACGUUCCCGGAUGCGCUGAUGUGCACCACUUUCCAUGACUACUACGUGGCCCUGGCUGUACUGA
rnacentral:sRNA from 1 species